rnacentral:rRNA from 1 species
GCCAAUCAUUAGCUCCAACAAUUAAUAACACAACUAUUUAUCAUCACUGACCAAAACAUCCAACUUAUCUUAGUAUAGGAGAUAGAAAAGCACUACGGACGCAAUAAUGUUAGUACCGCAAGGGAAAACUGAAAGACUAAUUCAAAGCACCUAAAAGCAAAGACUUACCCUUGUACCUUUUGCAUAAUGAUUUAGCCAGAAUAACCGGACAAAAAGAAUUUAAGCCCGCCUUCCCGAAAUCAAGUGAGCUACUAUAAAACAGCUGCACAGAGCUAACUCUUCUAUGUUGCAAAAUAGUGAGAAGAUUUUAUAGUAGAAGUGAAAAGCCUACCGAACUUGAAGAUAGCUGGUUGUCCAAAAUACGAAUUUCAGUUCAACUUUAAAUUUAAUUAAAGCACAAAUCUAAAGCACAAUUUAAAUUUAAAAGCUACUCAUAAGGGGAUCAUCCCUUAUGAUUACGUAAACAAACUUUACUAGAGGAUAAUGAUUAACAAAAAUACAUUGUAGGCUUAAAAGCAGCCAUCAAUUAAGAAAGCGUUAAAGCUCAAACUCAAAAUAACCCAUAAUUCCAACCAUAUUACCAAACUCCCUAUAUCUAUUAUUGGACGACUCUAUAAAUCUAUAGAAGACAUACUGCUAAAAUCAGUAACAAGAAAUACUUCUCCUUGCAUGAGCCUACAUUAGCAACGGAACUAUCCACUAAUAAUUAACAAAUCAAUAAUUAUAAACAAACAACUAGUAAAUUAUUUAAACCAAUUGUUAAUCCAACACAGGAAUGCAUAAAGGAAAGAUUAAAAAGAAUAAAAGGAACUCGGCAAACAUAAACCCCGCCUGUUUACCAAAAACAUCACCUCUAGAAUUACAAAUAUUAGAGGCAACGCCUGCCCAGUGAGUCCAACUUUAACGGCCGCGGUAUCCUGACCGUGCAAAGGUAGCAUAAUCACUUGUCCCCUAAAUAGAGACUUGUAUGAAUGGCAUCACGAGGGUUUAACUGUCUCUUAUCCUUAAUCAGUGAAAUUGACCUUCCCGUGCAGAGGCGGGAAUACUAUUACAAGACGAGAAGACCCUGUGGAGCUUAAGAAUAUUAACCUAUGAGCAAACAAUUUCAACCUAAUGGGAUAAAACUAUACUCAUUCAGAUUAUACAUCUUCGGUUGGGGUGACCUCGGAGUACAAGCAAACCUCCGAAUGAUAUAACCUAGAUUAACCAAUCCAAGUGUUAAAAACCAGUAAUUGACCCAUACAUUGAUCAACGGACCAAGUUACCCCAGGGAUAACAGCGCAAUCCUAUUAAAGAGCCCAUAUCGACAAUUAGGGUUUACGACCUCGAUGUUGGAUCAGGACAUCCAAAUGGUGUAACCGCUAUUAAUGGUUCGUUUGUUCAACGAUUAAAGUCCUACGUGAUCUGAGUUCAGACCGGAGAAAUCCAGGUCGGUUUCUAUCUGUAUAUUCAUUUCUCCCAGUACGAAAGGACAAGAGAAAUAGGGCCUACAUUAUUAAUGAGCCCCAGAAUAAGAUAUGAUCUAAUCUAAAUAUCUUAACACAAUAACUUUAUGCUCUAGAAAAGAGCCA